rnacentral:tRNA from 1 species
CAGGGAGACAACAAAAUGUUUAAUAUUAUUAUUUUGUCACCUUAGGUCGAUCGGUAUCUCACGUUCUUAAUUUGUUAAGAAUUUCAUUUCCUAAGUUUUUCUAGGUCACACCCAUUAUUUUUCCUGGGCCAUUAGCUCAGGUGGUUAGAGCGCACCCCUGAUAAGGGUGAGGUCCCUGGUUCAAGUCCAGGAUGGCCCAUAUCUCUAUGUUGGGGGUAUAGCUCAGUUGGUAGAGCGCCUGCUUUGCAAGCAGGAUGUCAGCGGUUCGAGUCCGCUUACCUCCACUGAUUACCACCUCUUCCAUAACUGGUAAAAAGGAAAUGUUUUGAGUUGUGAUUAUUAUUCUGAACGAAUCUAGCUUCCUAAUGAAAUCAUUAAGAUGCUGGACUCAUUGAAUUAAUUUCAUUGUUUUCAGAGAACCUUGACAACUGCAUAGAUUUUUUUAAAGACAAUAAGCAUCUUUAAUGAUGCAGAUUUAUUAUUUGUGCGAAUGCAUUAAUAACAAUUCUAUUAAGCUGAUGCUUCAAUUUUUGAAGUUAUU